ensembl:lncRNA
CCUCAUUCCUACCACCUAUCAGGAACGGUCCUUGGCCCACAUGUUCCAGCCUGGGGAACAGGAACAGUCCAGAGGUGACCAGCAGGGAGAGGGAGGUGAUCAGCUCUUGUGAGGCACCAUCUGCAGUACUGCAUCCAGGCCUGGGGUUCCCAGCACAGGAAGGACAUGGAGCUCUUGGAGCAGGUCCAGAGGAGGGCCACUAAGAUGAUCAGAGGGCUGAAGCACCUCUCCUAUGAGGAAAGGUUGAGGAAACUGGGCUUGUUUAGCUUGGAGAAGAGAAGGCUUCAGGGGGACCUCGUUGUGGCCUUCCAGUACUUGAAGGGAGCGUAUAAACAGGAGGGGGAACAGCUGUUUAUGAGGGUGGAUAGAGAUAGGACAAGGGGGAAUGGUUUUAAACUGAGACAGGGGAGGUUUAGGUUGGAUAUGAGGAGGAAGUUUUUCACCCAGAGGGUGGUGACACACUGAACAGGUUGCCCAAGGAGGCUGUGGAUGCCCCAUCCCUGCAGGCAUUCAAGGCCAGGCUGGAUGUGGCUCUGGGCAGCCUGGUCUGCUGGUUGGCGACCCUGCACAUAGCAGGGGAUUGGAACUCAAUGAGCACUGUGGUCCUUUUCAACCCAGGCCAUUCUGUGAUUCUAUGAUUGGAUCAUUAAAGAAGUCCAACUAUUUGCUACUCAGUUUGGCACAUGAAAUUAUGAGAGUGACAAAAGAGGGACAGAACUAUUCUGGGUAUAAAGAACUGGUCCAAUAACUCAUCAGUGAGAACUGAGUAUCACUUAUUCCAUCAGCUAAAAUCACUCCUGUGUUUCACAGAGAAUCGAGUUUUUGGAUAUCUUUUGGAUACUUGAACUCACUG